ACUCCUACGGGAGGCAGCAGUGGGGAAUCUUGCGCAAUGGGCGAAAGCCUGACGCAGCCAUGCCGCGUGGAUGAUGAAGGGUCUUAGGAUUGUAAAAUCCUUUCACCGGGGACGAUAAUGACGGUACCCGGAGAAGAAGCCCCGGCUAACUUCGUGCCAGCAGCCGCGGUAAUACGAAGGGGGCUAGCGUUGCUCGGAAUUACUGGGCGUAAAGGGCGCGUAGGCGGACAGUUAAGUUGGGGGUGAAAGCCCGGGGCUCAACCUCGGAAUUGCCUUCAAUACUGGCUGUCUUGAGUACGGGAGAGGUGAGUGGAACUCCGAGUGUAGAGGUGAAAUUCGUAGAUAUUCGGAAGAACACCAGUGGCGAAGGCGACUCACUGGCCCGUUACUGACGCUGAGGCGCGAAAGCGUGGGGAGCAAACAGGAUUAGAUACCCUGGUAGGCUCUGC
rnacentral:rRNA from 1 species